rnacentral:rRNA from 1 species
CUAAAUACUCCUGACUGACCGAUAGUGAACCAGUACCGUGAGGGAAAGGCGAAAAGAACCCCGGCGAGGGGAGUGAAAAAGAACCUGAAACCGUGUACGUACAAGCAGUGGGAGCACAGAGCAAUCUGUGUGACUGCGUACCUUUUGUAUAAUGGGUCAGCGACUUAUAUUCUGUAGCAAGGUUAACCGAAUAGGGGAGCCGAAGGGAAACCGAGUCUUAACUGGGCGUUAAGUUGCAGGGUAUAGACCCGAAACCCGGUGAUCUAGCCAUGGGCAGGUUGAAGGUUGGGUAACACUAACUGGAGGACCGAACCGACUAAUGUUGAAAAAUUAGCGGAUGACUUGUGGCUGGGGGUGAAAGGCCAAUCAAACCGGGAGAUAGCUGGUUCUCCCCGAAAGCUAUUUAGGUAGCGCCUCGUGAAUUCAUCUCCGGGGGUAGAGCACUGUUUCGGCAAGGGGGUCAUCCCGACUUACCAACCCGAUGCAAACUGCGAAUACCGGAGAAUGUUAUCACGGGAGACACACGGCGGGUGCUAACGUCCGUCGUGAAGAGGGAAACAACCCAGACCGCCAGCUAAGGUCCCAAAGUCAUGGUUAAGUGGGAAACGAUGUGGGAAGGCCCAGACAGCCAGGAUGUUGGCUUAGAAGCAGCCAUCAUUUAAAGAAAGCGUAAUAGCUCACUGGUCGAGUCGGCCUGCGCGGAAGAUGUAACGGGGCUAAACCAUGCACCGAAGCUGCGGCAGCGACGCUUAUGCGUUGUUGGGUAGGGGAGCGUUCUGUAAGCCUGUGAAGGUGUACUGUGAGGUAUGCUGGAGGUAUCAGAAGUGCGAAUGCUGACAUAAGUAACGAUAAAGCGGGUGAAAAGCCCGCUCGCCGGAAGACCAAGGGUUCCUGUCCAACGUUAAUCGGGGCAGGGUGAGUCGACCCCUAAGGCGAGGCCGAAAGGCGUAGUCGAUGGGAAACAGGUUAAUAUUCCUGUACUUGGUGUUACUGCGAAGGGGGGACGGAGAAGGCUAUGUUGGCCGGGCGACGGUUGUCCCGGUUUAAGCGUGUAGGCUGGUUUUCCAGGCAAAUCCGGAAAAUCAAGGCUGAGGCGUGAUGACGAGGCACUACGGUGCUGAAGCAACAAAUGCCCUGCUUCCAGGAAAAGCCUCUAAGCAUCAGGUAACAUCAAAUCGUACCCCAAACCGACACAGGUGGUCAGGUAGAGAAUACCAAGGCGCUUGAGAGAACUCGGGUGAAGGAACUAGGCAAAAUGGUGCCGUAACU